rnacentral:rRNA from 1 species
AACGAACGCUGGCGGCAUGCCUAACACAUGCAAGUCGAACGAGACCUUCGGGUCUAGUGGCGCACGGGUGCGUAACGCGUGGGAACCCGCCCUUAGGUUCGGAAUAACUCCCCGAAAGGGGUGCUAAUACCGGAUAAUGUCUUCGGACCAAAGAUUUAUCGCCUUUGGAUGGGCCCGCGUUGGAUUAGCUAGUUGGUAGGGUAAAAGCCUACCAAGGCGACGAUCCAUAGCUGGUCUGAGAGGAUGAUCAGCCACACUGGGACUGAGACACGGCCCAGACUCCUACGGGAGGCAGCAGUGGGGAAUAUUGGACAAUGGGCGAAAGCCUGAUCCGGCAAUGCCGCGUGAGUGAUGAAGGCCUUAGGGUUGUAAAGCUCUUUUACCCGGGAUGAUAAUGACAGUACCGGGAGAAUAAGCUCCGGCUAACUCCGUG